rnacentral:rRNA from 1 species
GAUGAACGCUGGCGGCGUGCCUAAUACAUGCAAGUCGAGCGAACAGACGAGGAGCUUGCUCCUCUGACGUUAGCGGCGGACGGGUGAGUAACACGUGGAUAACCUACCUAUAAGACUGGGAUAACUUCGGGAAACCGGAGCCAAUACCGGAUAAUAUAUUGAACCGCAUGGUUCAAUAGUGAAAGCCGGUUUUGCUGUCACUUAUAGAUGGAUCCCGGCCGCAUUAGCUAGUUGGUAAGGUAACGGCUUACCAAGGCGACGAUGCGUAGCCGACCUGAGAGGGUGAUCGGCCACACUGGAACUGAGACACGGUCCAGACUCCUACGGGAGGCAGCAGUAGGGAAUCUUCCGCAAUGGGCGAAAGCCUGACGGAGCAACGCCGCGUGAGUGAUGAAGGUCUUCGGAUCGUAAAACUCUGUUAUUAGGGAAGAACAAAUGUGUAAGUAACUAUGCACGUCUUGACGGUACCUAAUCAGAAAGCCACGGCUAACUACGUG